rnacentral:rRNA from 1 species
GACGAACGCUGGCGGCGUGCUUAACACAUGCAAGUCGAACGGUGAAGCCCUUCGGGGUGGAUCAGUGGCGAACGGGUGAGUAACACGUGAGCAACCUGCCCUUGACUCUGGGAUAACUCCGGGAAACCGGUGCUAAUACUGGAUAUGACGCGCGGAGGCAUCUUCGGCGUGUGGAAAGAUUUAUUGGUCAAGGAUGGGCUCGCGGCCUAUCAGCUUGUUGGUGGGGUAAUGGCCUACCAAGGCGACGACGGGUAGCCGGCCUGAGAGGGCGACCGGCCACACUGGGACUGAGACACGGCCCAGACUCCUACGGGAGGCAGCAGUGGGGAAUAUUGCGCAAUGGGCGAAAGCCUGACGCAGCGACGCCGCGUGAGGGAUGAAGGCCUUCGGGUUGUAAACCUCUUUCAGCAGGGAAGAAGCGAGAGUGACGGUACCUGCAGAAGAAGCACCGGCUAACUACGUGCCAGCCGCCGCCGUAACAC